GCCGUUGGACAAACUGCCGAGACUGCCAGGCAGUUCUUGCAGGCCACAAGUUGGAAGCUUGAGGAGGCUAUUUAGCUUUUUUAUAUAGGCAGUGAAGGCGGCACUGUAGUGGGAGGAUCGUCUUCUCAAUUUCCGCCUACAGAAAAUAUUGAAGCUUUGGCCGAACAGACUGCUCGUGAAGCCGAAAGGAAUUUGGCACUGAUUGUUGGAGAUGAAGUACGCCCUCC